AUUGAACGCUGGCGGCAUGCCUUACACAUGCAAGUCGAACGGUAACAAGUCUUCGGAUGCUGACGAGUGGCGAACGGGUGAGUAAUACAUCGGAACGUGCCUAGUAGUGGGGGAUAACUACUCGAAAGAGUGGCUAAUACCGCAUGAGAUCUACGGAUGAAAGCAGGGGAUCGCAAGACCUUGUGCUACUAGAGCGGCCGAUGGCAGAUUAGGUAGUUGGUGGGAUAAAAGCUUACCAAGCCGACGAUCUGUAGCUGGACUGAGAGGACGAUCAGCCAAACUGGGACUGAGACACGGCCCAGACUCCUACGGGAGGCAGCAGUGGGGAAUUUUGGACAAUGGGCGAAAGCCUGAUCCAGCAAUGCCGCGUGCAGGAUGAAGGCCUUCGGGUUGUAAACUGCUUUUGUACGGAACGAAAAGCCCCGGGUUAAUACCCUGGGGUCAUGACGGUACCGUAAGAAUAAGCACCGGCUAACUACGUGCCAGCCGCCGCGGUAA
rnacentral:rRNA from 1 species